rnacentral:tRNA from 1 species
GGGCCCGUAGCUCAGCAUGGAUAGAGCGGCGGCCUCCUAAGCCGCAGGUCGCGGGUUCGAAUCCCGCCGGGCCCG